UUUUCACUCAUCCAGUAAUAUACACUAAUAUGCAUUCAUACAUCCGGUUAUUCACUCAUCCGCUAAUAUGUUUAUAAUGUUUUUAUUUAAGGUUGUUGCAUGACAGAGUGUUGCGCGGGACUGCAUUGUCAAACAGAUUCCGUUUCGUGUCUUCCGCCCAUUGCAGCGGAAUGACAAUUGCUUCGGAACCGGAAUCAAUUAAACAGCGCUUAGUCGAUAGAUUCAUGUCAUCCGGCAAUACAGAAAGUCUGAUUCUUUGGGCGUAUAAUACCCGACCAGUAGGAGCACACUGGUUGUUGCUUGCUAUCAUCCCGAUAAGAGAGGUUGUAUAUUUUCUGAAUUCGGUAGAUGGUGAGUGGAGCAAUUAUCCGGCUAUGAAGGAAAUUAUUGAUUUAUCAAUACAAGUGUUCCGAAGUCAACGAGACGCACAUGUAUCCCGGACUAAAUCAAACAACAUUACUUGGAUCAAAGUGCAGGUACAUUAUUUUUCACAAUUUUGCUUAUAAUAUUUAUG